CAGUAGCCACGGUAAUACGAAGGGGGCUAGCGUUGCUCGGAAUUACUGGGCGUAAAGGGAGCGUAGGCGGCUUGGUAAGUUAGAGGUGAAAGCCCCGGGCUCAACCUGGGAAUGGCAAUGGAUACUGGCGAGCUAGAGUGUGUCAGAGGAUGGUGGAAUUCCCGGUGUAGCGGUGAAAUGCGUAGAGAUCGGGAGGAACAUCAGUGGCGAAGGCGGCCAUCUGGGACAACACUGACGCUGAGGCACGAAAGCGUGGGGAGCAAACAGGAUUAGAGACCCCUGUAGUCCCUGUCUCUUAUAA
rnacentral:rRNA from 1 species